AAGACCUUGCGCUUUUGGAGCGGCCGAUGCCUGAUUAGCUUGUUGGUAAGGUAAAAGCUUACCAAGGCUUCGAUCAGUAGCUGGUCUGAGAGGACGGCCAGCCACACUGGGACUGAGACACGGCCCAGACUCCUACGGGAGGCAGCAGUGGGGAAUUUUGGACAAUGGGGGCAACCCUGAUCCAGCCAUGCCGCGUGAGUGAAGAAGGCCUUCGGGUUGUAAAGCUCUUUCAGCCGGAACGAAACGGUUACGGUUAAUACCCGUGAUUACUGACGGUACCGGAAGAAGAAGCACCGGCUAACUACGUGCCAGCAGCCGCGGUAAUACGUAGGGUGCGAGCGUUAAUCGGAGUUACUGGGCGUAAAGCGUGCGCAGGUGGUUUUGUAAGUCAGAUGUGAAAGCCCCGGGCUCAACCUGGGAACU
rnacentral:rRNA from 1 species